AUGUGGAAGGCCAGAGACCAGGAACGUAAAGUGAAGUGGGUGUGCCUGGGAUCAUGCACAGCUAGUGAGUGGAAGAGCCAAGAUUCAAAUCCAUGCAGCCUGGCUCCAGGGCCCACACUGUCAGUCACUCAUCAACACCUUUCCAAGUUUUCCAGAGGUAGCAAAGAAACUGCUACUGCAUGAGUGUCGGGUUGACAGGAAAUUGAACUCCCACCUCUGUACAAAAGGAAGAUGGAUGUUUAUGACCCUCCCCCACAACUAAAGUCCAAACUACCACAGGGGUCUGCAUAGAGGGGUACGUGUUUUCAUUAGCCAGUUAGGUUAGCUCAAGGCCCACCAACAUCAGACAUUAUCAUUGAACAAGCCCUUUUUGAUAGUCGCCUUUCUCAAUGCAUUUUAGGAAAACACAGUUCAUUUAUUCAGCUGAGUUAAGCUUAGCUGAGAAUUGAAAAAGAAAAAGAGAAAAUAAGUGAUCAAAGUUUUGUUUUUCACUCCCUAUCUCCUCAAUUCUUUUGCCAAUUUCAUUCUCCAGCUUCCCUUCAACAGAGCUUAAUUUAGCAAGAAAACAGUGAGUUCAUUUACCCAGCAAGGGAGUGCUUUUCAUGUUUGAGCUUUGAAAUGAAAAUUGUCUAUGGGCAAGCUUCUCUGAGAGCAGCAGGGCCUGUCAUCAUGGCUCUAUGGACUUGGGGGAAGGAAGUCGAAGUUUGGAAAGAGAAGGAAUGGGUAGUGCUUUUCUCGAGGUAGGACCCUGCAGUAGUGGAAAGCAGAAACCCAAAGCAAUGUGAAUACUGGGCUCUUAAGAGGUCUGGGGUAAAUGCAUUUGAUUUUCAGCCUGUAUACAUUAAAUACCUGCCCUCUGCCUUGACUUCCAGCCAUAUAGACCUUUGAUAUAAAUAUAACAAAUGAUCCCAUCCUCUAUGCCAGGCGAAUUUAAAUCUACAUUUUCAUGCAACACAUCUAUAGACUCCUUAAGGUAAAAUGUAGAUGCAGAAACAGACAUCUUUCCCCAAAGAUGGAUUGGAUUGCUUUAAAACAUUUUAACAACAUCUACUUUUGAGCUUCUCCAUUUGAGUAGGAGUGGUGGACAAGUGAAAAUCGCAUGUUUUUUCUUCUCUCAGGAUUCAUAAUUGAUGAUAGAGGUAGUCAGAAACAUGAGUAGUUGUCAGUUACAUGAUAUUCAGUAAUAAAUACUUACCCAGAGUCCCA
rnacentral:lncRNA from 13 species